rnacentral:tRNA from 1 species
GCCUGGGUGGCUCAGUUGGUUGAGCAUCCGACUUCGGCUCAGGUCAUGAUCUCACAGCUCGUGAGUUCAAGCCCCGCGUCAGGCU